rnacentral:rRNA from 1 species
AUGAGACGGGCGUUUGUUUAUCAGCUCCUUCGUGAUUUUCAUGGUGACAAACAGAACAUGAUUGUAACUGUCAAGACACAAGACACAAGAAAUUUAGCACAUUCUGGUGUGCACUUAUUAACAAAGAAAUCAGAAACUAUGUUAGUGCAAUGUUUUCCAGUGCAUUGCUGUAUAGUUCCUUCCUCCAAGCUCAAACUUUCAUUCAGAAAUAACCAACUAGUUAUUCAGCAUGUUUCACCUAUUCCUCUUAUUCUAUUUGUAUUGGUUUUACCUACACAAAGAGGCUUACAAAUGCAGCUACAUCUAAAGCCCUGCACGGCCGUGUUCUGA